UGGCUCAGUGGUAGAGUACUUGCCUUGUAUGCAUGAGGCCCUGGGUUCAAUUCCUUA
rnacentral:tRNA from 1 species